rnacentral:lncRNA from 1 species
AAACAACUAAUAAUAGUUCACAAGCCUAAACUAAUUCAAAAACCGCCAUUGCACAAACAGAUGAAAGAAGCAAAUUUUCAUAACAUGUUACAGAAAAUCAGCAUGGAAAUUUUAUAAGGAUUAGACCAACGGGAAGACAUAGAAAAUGGAAAACAUGUACCCUCUACUCUACGUCAGGUUGACCAAAGUAAUCAUUCACUAUUAACCAUUGUUAAGGGGCACGCGAAGGAAAAUUAGCAAACAUCAAUUUGCACCAUCUAUAUCAGACAAACUUGCUUACUGUUUUCAGUUCCAAUUCAUCGAUGCAACUUCAAGCUGAAAAACAGCAGAAAUAAAUUGAUGCCACAAAUGGCUGGUUGAGAGAUAACUCAACAAGCAUCCCAAAGCUCCAUUCAUUGUCCUGAAGCUAUAGUACAAAGAGUGCUUUCUGAUCAGGAAGUAGAAAUAAAUAUUACCACAAAUCUGGUUGAGAUGUUAGAGUUAAGAUGUACUUAUGUGAACGCCAAAGCUCUCUCUUCGCCAGUCUUCAUCUCUGCAAUAGCCCCAUCAUGAAGCAGUGUUCCACCAAUUAUCUAAGAGUUCCAAUUAAAACACAAUGGAUCAAUUUGCACAAGAAAAGAACUACACAAAUGCUAUAUAUAAUUUAGCAACUUAAUUCAAUUUGUACUAACUGGAUUCGCAAAGUUAUUUUUCUUUUGAACUGUUUAAUCACGCCUAACAUCCAUCUGUUAUAUGAUUACACAUGAUCACGAGAUUACAAACUACUUCUUUUGGUGAAAUUGAGCAGAUUUGCGGAAACAUAUUAGCUAUGAAGUUAGACAACUGGUGAAAGAGUACACAAAGAAUUCACUGAACAUGAAAUAUUGUUUCUAGUAGAAAUUCAAUGCAAAAGCAUUUCAUGAUGUAGAAUCAAAAAUAAAGUUCAACAUACAUCUGUUCCGAUGGGAUAGUAUCCUGUAGUAUUUUGGAUCUCAACAUUUUUAAGACUCUCCUUUGGCUUGGAUCACAUUUUCAAAAUUGAACUGGUACAUGAUUGAUGAUUUUUAAUGCAUAGUAGCAUGUCGUCUUAAAUAUGACCUUGUACAGCUGCUCAGGAUAUAGAAAGACAAAGUAUAAGAACAGACCCAUCUGAACAAGGAUACAUCCUGAUGAAAAAGGAUGUACAGAGGCCAACCUCCUAGAAUCAAAUGCCAGGCGAAGUAACACAAAUAUGUCUCACAUACCCUUGACCCAAGUCCAAUUGGCCUACGCUGUAAUUUAGACCUUUUUCCAGCUUCGAUAGGAUAGUAACUUGCAUUAAGAAAUGUAGUAACCUGUCUCACAGAAAACAGAACUAAUAUCAAGAUCAAUAUCGAAGACAUAUAUAACCAAAGACAAUGUCAGUGAACACGUCAGAGGAGUUGAUAGUCGGAAUUAAUCAAAUCCCUGUGAGUUUGUCAAAAUUAAAGUAUCAACUUCGCCAGCUGCAAACAAGUUUAGAUGGAUGUGAUUCACUUGUUACCCCCUGAAAUAUACGAAGGCAAAACCACAAUAAGAGGCAAAGAGAUUUAGGACCAAGCAAUGCUUUAUGUCAAUUGUUGCAACCUUUCUCUAACAUAUCAUGGAAGAGCAAUCAAGGCGAGAUUGAACACAACAGUUUCAGCUGGACUUGUGUACACAAUAUACACGAGUUAGAAGACUUCAUAGUGCGCAGAUUCUGCGCAAGUACAAUAUAAUAACAAACAGAAUAGUAGAUGAAUAAAUUUUCCAACGAGCAAUGAGGACAAUAGCAAAAUC